rnacentral:rRNA from 1 species
UACGUAGGGCGCAAGCGUUGUCCGGAAUUAUUGGGCGUAAAGAGCUCGUAGGCGGUUUGUCGCGUCUGCUGUGAAAACCUAAGGCUCAACCUUGGGGCUUGCAGUGGGUACGGGCAGACUAGAGUGCGGUAGGGGUGACUGGAAUUCCUGGUGUAGCGGUGGAAUGCGCAGAUAUCAGGAGGAACACCGAUGGCGAAGGCAGGUCACUGGGCCGCAACUGACG